AACUUUCGGCAAUGGAUCACUUGGUUCCGGCAUCGAUGAAGAACGCAGCGAAAUGCGAUAACUAAUGUGAAUUGCAGAAUUCCGUGAAUCAUCGAGUCUUUGAACGCAUAUUGCGCCCUCUGGUAUUCCGGGGGGCAUAUCUGUCCGAGCGUCAUUACAGCCCUAAAGCCCGGCUUUGUAUUGGAUAUAAGUUCUGCUCUGCGGGACCGGUCCGAAAGGUAUUAAUAACAUCGCGAUACCACAGAAUCGAGUGAAUGGAAUUCAUCUCUGCUCGUUAGAAGUGGCCGAUUGUCUUCUGGGUCAGUUGCUUCGGCAGCCCCCGUUUCAAUGGUUGACCUCGGAUCAGAUAAGGAUACCCGCUGAACUUAAGCAUAUCAAUAAGCGGAGGCU
rnacentral:misc_RNA from 1 species